UUCUUUGAACAAUAUAAAGCAAUGGCAGG
rnacentral:piRNA from 1 species